UCUCUCAUUUUCUCCGGCUCUUUCUCGUAGAGUUGUGGUUCGAGAUGGAAAGGCCCUUCACGUGGUUCAUCAUGCUGUUACCAAUGAUAGGAAACAAUCUGCUUGAACAAUGAGCAUAAACCUUAACAUUUACAGGUUUUAAAAAAUAAAGAAAAUGCAAGAAUGAAG